AAUGAACGUUGGCGGCGUGGAUUAGGCAUGCAAGUCGAGCGCGAUGAGUUUGGUAGCUUGCUAUUGAACUCGGAAAGCGGCGAAAGGGAGAGUAACGCGUAGUUACGUGCCCCAGGGGUCGGAAUAGCCACGGGAAACUGUGGGUAAUGCCGAAUAACAUCGCCGGAUCAACGGUGUGAUUCCGCCCUGGGAGCCGACUGCGUCCUACUAGCUAGUUGGCGGGGUAAUGGCCCACCGAGGCAACAAUGGGUCGCGGGUGUGAGAGCAUGACCCGACUCACUGGGACUGAGACACUGCCCAGACACCUACGGGUGGCUGCAGUCCAGAAUCUUCGGCAAUGGGCGAAAGCCUGACCGAGCGACGCCGCGUGCGGGAUGAAGGCCCUCGGGUUGUAAACCGCUGUCGUAGGGGAGGAGGGCUCUGUGAAGAACAGGGUUUGACCUAUCCUAGGAGGAAGUACGGGCUAAGUUCGUGCCAGCCGCCGCGGUAAAAC
rnacentral:rRNA from 1 species